rnacentral:tRNA from 1 species
UGUAAUGUAGUUUAUAUAAAAUUUUCGUUUUACACGCGAUUGAACUCAGAUUGAGCUUUACUA